UUACAAAUUACAACUAUACACUACAGCAGUUAUGGCAGGAAUUGUUUUUGGUGGAAAUUUAUUAAAUAGUAUUUUCUUCAGUGCCUGCAAAACCUGUUUGAUUAUAUUAGUCCCACUGCGGUCGAGUGUUGCCCCAAAAUAUAUGAGCUUGUGGCAUCAAAUUAGCCCCUCAAGGCUUGCACCCUAUUUAUUUUACUCCUUUUGUUUUAAAAAAGGAAAAAUAAAGGUAUUUUAAAGUACCUCAAUUGAUAUUUCAUACAUUUUCCUUCCAUUUCAUUUUUCUGUUUACCAGCUCACCUCUCGAACCUCAUUGUGGCUUAUGGGAAAAGCACACCGGACCACUAAGGACAAGGGAGAGCUAGU
rnacentral:lncRNA from 1 species